AACCUGCCCUAAAGACCGGGACAACGUUUCGAAAGAGGCGCUAAUACCGGAUGUGGCCGUCGGGUGACAUCGCCUGACGAUUAAAUCGAGCAAUCGGCUUUAGGAGGGGCUUGCGGCCUAUCAGCUAGAUGGCGAGGUAACGGCUCACCAUGGCGACGACGGGUAGCUGGUCUGAGAGGACGGUCAGCCGGAUUGGGACUGAGAUACGGCCCAGACUCCUACGGGGGGCAGCAAUUAGGAAUCUUGCACAAUGGGCGAAAGCCUGAUGCAGCGACGUCGCGUGGGG
rnacentral:rRNA from 1 species